rnacentral:rRNA from 1 species
GGGUUGUGAGGUUAAGCGACUAAGCGUACACGGUGGAUGCCCUGGCAGUCAGAGGCGAUGAAGGACGUGCUAAUCUGCGAUAAGCGUCGGUAAGGUGAUAUGAACCGUUAUAACCGGCGAUUUCCGAAUGGGGAAACCCAGUGUGUUUCGACACACUAUCAUUAACUGAAUCCAUAGGUUAAUGAGGCGAACCGGGGGAACUGAAACAUCUAAGUACCCCGAGGAAAAGAAAUCAACCGAGAUUCCCCCAGUAGCGGCGAGCGAACGGGGAGCAGCCCAGAGCCUGAAUCAGUGUGUGUGUUAGUGGAAGCGUCUGGAAAGGCGCGCGAUACAGGGUGACAGCCCCGUACACAAAAAUGCACAUGCUGUGAGCUCGAUGAGUAGGGCGGGACACGUGGUAUCCUGUCUGAAUAUGGGGGGACCAUCCUCCAAGGCUAAAUACUCCUGACUGACCGAUAGUGAACCAGUACCGUGAGGGAAAGGCGAAAAGAACCCCGGCGAGGGGAGUGAAAAAGAACCUGAAACCGUGUACGUACAAGCAGUGGGAGCACGCUUAGGCGUGUGACUGCGUACCUUUUGUAUAAUGGGUCAGCGACUUAUAUUCUGUAGCAAGGUUAACCGAAUAGGGGAGCCGAAGGGAAACCGAGUCUUAACUGGGCGUUAAGUUGCAGGGUAUAGACCCGAAACCCGGUGAUCUAGCCAUGGGCAGGUUGAAGGUUGGGUAACACUAACUGGAGGACCGAACCGACUAAUGUUGAAAAAUUAGCGGAUGACUUGUGGCUGGGGGUGAAAGGCCAAUCAAACCGGGAGAUAGCUGGUUCUCCCCGAAAGCUAUUUAGGUAGCGCCUCGUGAACUCAUCUCCGGGGGUAGAGCACUGUUUCGGCAAGGGGGUCAUCCCGACUUACCAACCCGAUGCAAACUGCGAAUACCGGAGAAUGUUAUCACGGGAGACACACGGCGGGUGCUAACGUCCGUCGUGAAGAGGGAAACAACCCAGACCGCCAGCUAAGGUCCCAAAGUCAUGGUUAAGUGGGAAACGAUGUGGGAAGGCCCAGACAGCCAGGAUGUUGGCUUAGAAGCAGCCAUCAUUUAAAGAAAGCGUAAUAGCUCACUGGUCGAGUCGGCCUGCGCGGAAGAUGUAACGGGGCUAAACCAUGCACCGAAGCUGCGGCAGCGACGCUGAUGCGUUGUUGGGUAGGGGAGCGUUCUGUAAGCCUGUGAAGGUGUGCUGUGAGGCAUGCUGGAGGUAUCAGAAGUGCGAAUGCUGACAUAAGUAACGAUAAAGCGGGUGAAAAGCCCGCUCGCCGGAAGACCAAGGGUUCCUGUCCAACGUUAAUCGGGGCAGGGUGAGUCGACCCCUAAGGCGAGGCCGAAAGGCGUAGUCGAUGGGAAACAGGUUAAUAUUCCUGUACUUGGUGUUACUGCGAAGGGGGGACGGAGAAGGCUAUGUUGGCCGGGCGACGGUUGUCCCGGUUUAAGCGUGUAGGCUGGUUUUCCAGGCAAAUCCGGAAAAUCAAGGCUGAGGCGUGAUGACGAGGCACUACGGUGCUGAAGCAACAAAUGCCCUGCUUCCAGGAAAAGCCUCUAAGCAUCAGGUAACAUCAAAUCGUACCCCAAACCGACACAGGUGGUCAGGUAGAGAAUACCAAGGCGCUUGAGAGAACUCGGGUGAAGGAACUAGGCAAAAUGGUGCCGUAACUUCGGGAGAAGGCACGCUGAUAUGUAGGUGAAGUCCCUCGCGGAUGGAGCUGAAAUCAGUCGAAGAUACCAGCUGGCUGCAACUGUUUAUUAAAAACACAGCACUGUGCAAACACGAAAGUGGACGUAUACGGUGUGACGCCUGCCCGGUGCCGGAAGGUUAAUUGAUGGGGUCAGCGCAAGCGAAGCUCUUGAUCGAAGCCCCGGUAAACGGCGGCCGUAACUAUAACGGUCCUAAGGUAGCGAAAUUCCUUGUCGGGUAAGUUCCGACCUGCACGAAUGGCGUAAUGAUGGCCAGGCUGUCUCCACCCGAGACUCAGUGAAAUUGAACUCGCUGUGAAGAUGCAGUGUACCCGCGGCAAGACGGAAAGACCCCGUGAACCUUUACUAUAGCUUGACACUGAACAUUGAGCCUUGAUGUGUAGGAUAGGUGGGAGGCUUUGAAGUGUGGACGCCAGUCUGCAUGGAGCCGACCUUGAAAUACCACCCUUUAAUGUUUGAUGUUCUAACGU